rnacentral:rRNA from 1 species
CCUACGGGAGGCAGCAGUGAGGAAUAUUGGUCAAUGGACGCAAGUCUGAACCAGCCAUGCCGCGUGCAGGAAGACGGCUCUAUGAGUUGUAAACUGCUUUUGUACGAGGGUAAACUCACCUACGUGUAGGUGACUGAAAGUAUCGUACGAAUAAGGAUCGGCUAACUCCGUGCCAGCAGCCGCGGUAAUACGGAGGAUUCAAGCGUUAUCCGGAUUUAUUGGGUUUAAAGGGUGCGUAGGCGGUUUGAUAAGUUAGAGGUGAAAUCCCGGGGCUUAACUCCGGAACUGCCUCUAAUACUGUUAGACUAGAGAGUAGUUGCGGUAGGCGGAAUGUAUGGUGUAGCGGUGAAAUGCUUAGAGAUCAUACAGAACACCGAUUGCGAAGGCAGCUUACCAAACUAUAUCUGACGUUGAGGCACGAAAGCGUGGGGAGCAAACA